UUCACUUUCGACUUCCAUUUUCAGAGACCUGGUUUGCAAAGAAAAAGAUGGGCAGAGAAAGCAUAGAAAAAGGAGGAGAGUUAUUAAAUGAUCCUCUGCUGCCUCUUAAACGUAGUGAUGGGUCUUCUGGUGCUGUGGAAUGUAGUAUCAGCAGCAGAGACAGUGCUGGUAGAAAUGAAAAUCGAUCUUCUUUUUCAUCAGCUACAACUAUGGUUGUCGUCACCUCCUUGGUUGCUGUGUGUGGAUCCUAUGUUUUUGGUCUAUUGGAUAUUCCUCACCGGCUCAAUCUGGAAUUAGUGCUGACCUGGGCCUCACUGUGGCUGAGUAUUCGCUCUUUGGUUCAAUAUUGACAAUUGGAGCAAUGAUAGGUGCCAUAGCGAGUGGGAAAAUAGCAGAUUACCUAGGAAGAAGAUGUACAAUGGGCAUUUCCGAGAUAAUCUGUAUUUGAGGAUGGCUUGCCAUAGUUUUCUCAAAGGUUUCUUGGUGGCUCAACCUUGGAAGACUUCUGGUAGGAUGUGGGAUGGGGCUUCCUAUGUAGUAAAUCCGAAUAUAGCCAUUUACUUCCAGCUUUUAGUGGUGUGCCAGAUGGAAAUAUUUGUGUUCCAAUUGCCAAUUAUCUAUACAUAGCAGAAAUAACACCCAAGAAUCUUCGAGGAGGAUUUACAGCAGCUCAUCAGGUAAAAGCAUAAACAUCCUGAAUUUGGAUAUCAAUUAACACGAUCACCUGAGAAGCUACUAACCACCAAUAUACAGUUGAUGAGAUGUUGUGGCGUGUCAAUGUCAUAUUUUUUUUUUGUUUUUUGGAAGAUGUAUAUAUUGGUUGGAGACCAACUAACAGCUGCCUAUAUUGGUUGGAAACAAUUUGGAAGAGAAUCCAACAAAGGCCUCAUUUGAGCCCAAUUUGUUGGGUUUGGACCGGACUGGGGUGAAAGAAUUGUUGAAAUAAAGAGAAUGGAAUGCGAGGUGGGCAGUCAUACAAAACCCUAUUUCCUCUCUCCUGCUUUUUGAUGCUUCUGUAAGCUCCAAAACCCUGAGGCCUAGACAUGCUCUCUCAUUCUCUUUAUUCUAUCAUUUUCUCGGAUUCCACGAUGACCCGGCGUAAAGCGCUACCGACGAUGAGGUCCAGCAUUCUGAAAUUACUCCGCUGCGGCGGCGAGUAUUCCACGACUCAAAUUGCAGAGCAUCUCCAUGAAGUGCACUUGUCCAAAGGACGAUGGGAUCGGAGUGUUAACGAAGUCAAACGGAGUGCUAAGCCGCUGCUGGCUAAAAUGAAACGGGCUCAGGUUGUGAUUUGUCUAAAGGAAGGGUGGUACAAGCUGCCGGUGCCGCCGUGCACUGAUGAGUUGAUCCUGUCUCCGACCAUCAGCGAUGAGGUUAUACUUGCCGCCCUUAGAUGUGAUGACACUAGCAAGCUGGCCAUGACUUCUUUGAUUGAAAUCUACAAUGUCAGGAGGCGAGAUCUAGCUGAUGCUCAACUGGAUGAAGCAAAUUUUACUGCUGGAAAUUCUAGAGCGAAGAAGCGAAUCAAAACACUAGGUUUUAAGUAUAUUUUAUUUGUUAAUUAUUAUUGUUUUGGAUUAGGGUGUUAUUAGAGUUUUGACUUCUGAAUAUUAGUUAGAAAAGUGUUUUUGCAGAGCCUGUGUGCAUGUAGGUUAGGUUAGAUAGUUUUACCGUACUUAUCACUUUCUUCAAUUACAGUUUAAUCAUUGAGAAAAUAUUUAUUUAAUCAUUGAAAAAAUAUGGUUUUUUCUCAAUAUCUGUUAGCAUAUUGUUUUGGAUUAGUGUGUUAUUAGAGUUUCGACCUCUGAAGAUUAGUUAGAAAGUGUUUUUGCAGAGCCUGUGUACAUGUAGGUUAGGUUAGAUAGUUUUAUUGUACUUAUCACUUUCUUCAAUUACAGUUUAAUCAUUGAGAAAAUAUUUAUUUAAUCAUCGAGAAAAUAUGGCUUUUCUCAAUAUCUGUUAGCACAGUGUUUUGGAUUAGUGUGUUAUUAGAGUUUCGACUUCUGAAAAUUAGAUAGAAAAGUGUUUUUGCAGAGCCUGUGUGCAUGUAGGUUAGGUUACAUAGCUUUACCGUACUUAUCACUUUCUUCAAUUACAGUUUAAUCAUUGAGAAAAUCUUAAUUUAAUCACUGAGAAAAUAUGGCUUUUCCCAAUAUCUGUUAGCACAUUGUUUUGGAUUAGGGUAUUAUUAGAGUUUCGACUUCUGAAGAUUAGUUAGAAAAGUGUUUUUGCAGAGCCUGUGUGCAUGUAGGUUAGGUUAGAU